GGUGCAUGGUUGUCGUCAGCUCGUGUCGUGAGAUGUUGGGUUAAGUCCCGCAACGAGCGCAACCCUUGUCUUAUGUUGCCAGCACGUUGUGGUGGGGACUCGUAAGAAACUGCCGGGGUUAACUCGGAGGAAGGUGGGGAUGACGUCAAAUCAUCAUGCCCCUUAUGUCCAGGGCUUCACACAUGCUACAAUGGUCGGUACAGUGGGUUGCCAGUCCGUGAGGGCGAGCUAAUCCCGCAAAGCCGGUCUCAGUUCGGAUCGGGGUCUGCAACUCGACCCCGUGAAGUCGGAGUCGCUAGUAAUCGCAGAUCAGCAACGCUGCGGUGAAUACGUUCCCGGGCCUUGUACACACCGCCCGUCACGUCAUGAAAGUCGGUAACACCCGAAGCCAGUGGCCUAACACAUUUUGUGGGGGAGCUGUCGAAGGUGGGAUUGGCGAUUGGGACGAAGUCGUAACAAGGUAGCCGUACCGGAAGGUGCGGCUGGAUCACCUCCUUUCUAAGGAGA
rnacentral:rRNA from 1 species